rnacentral:misc_RNA from 1 species
AUGCCUGUGAGAAUUGGGGAUUCUUUGAGUUGCUGGACCAUGGAAUAGAGCCAGAGUUCUUGGACACAGUGGAGAGAAUGACAAAAGGUCAUUACAGGAAAUGCAUGGAGCAGAGAUUCAAGGAAAUGGUGGCCGGCAAAGGUCUUGAGAAUGUCCAAACUGAGAUCAAAGAUUUGGACUGGGAAAGCACCUUCUACCUCCGCCAUCUCCCUGAGUCAAACAUUGCUCAAGUUCC